rfam:Medicago truncatula strain A17 chromosome 5, whole genome shotgun sequence.
AUGACGUGUAGCAUGCCCGUGGUGGAACUACUCUGAUGUAUAUUUGCUAUUUAAUUGCUUUUGGGUAACGGGGUGUUACAAGGUG